rnacentral:rRNA from 1 species
UACGGAGGGUGCAAGCGUUAAUCGGAAUUACUGGGCGUAAAGAGCGCGCAGGCGGUCGUUCAAGUCGCGUGUGAAAGCCCCCGGCUCAACUGGGGAGGGUCACGCGAUACUGAUCGACUCGAAGGCAGGAGAGGGCAGCAGAAUUCCGGUGUAGUGGUGAAAUGCGUAGAUAUCGGGAGGAAUACCAGUGGCGAAGGCGGCUGCCUGGCCUGUUCUUGACGCUGAGGCGCGAAAGCUGGGGGAGCAAACGGGG